GCCUCCGUGGAUGAACGGUAAAUUGCCCUGAAAUUGUUAUCAUGAGCCUGCUUGAUCAGUAGGGAGACGUGGGUUCGAGUCCCACCGGAGGCG